UUACGGUCACAUCACCUUCAAACACCGGACCUCGGACAAUCAUCGAAGUUAAACAACGUUGAGCCUGGUCAGUACCUAGACGGGUGACCACUUGGGAAUACCAGGUGCUGUAA